UAGGGAAUCUUCGGCAAUGGACGAAAGUCUGACCGAGCAACGCCGCGUGAGUGAAGAAGGUUUUCGGAUCGUAAAACUCUGUUGUUAGAGAAGAACAAGGACGUUAGUAACUGAACGUCCCCUGACGGUAUCUAACCAGAAAGCCCCGGCUAACUACGUGCCAGCAGCCGCGGUAAUACGUAGGUGGCAAGCGUUGUCCGGAUUUAUUGGGCGUAAAGCGAGCGCAGGCGGUUUCUUAAGUCUGAUGUGAAAGCCCCCGGCUCAACCGGGGAGGGUCAUUGGAAACUGGGAGACUUGAGUGCAGAAGAGGAGAGUGGAAUUCCAUGUGUAGCGGUGAAAUGCGUAGAUAUAUGGAGGAACACCAGUGGCGAAGGCGGCUCUCUGGUCUGUAACUGACGCUGAGGCUCGAAAGCGUGGGGAGCAAACAGG
rnacentral:rRNA from 2 species